rnacentral:rRNA from 1 species
UACCCGCGGCCCGAGUGGUGCUCAUUAUUAUUGAGCAUAAAGCGUCCGUAGCUGGCCGGGCAAAUCUCCGGGUAAAUCGGGCCGCUCAACGGUCCGAAUUCCGGAGACACUGCUCGGCUUGGGAUCGGGAGAGGGUGAAGGUACUCCCGGGGUAGGGGUAAAAUCCUGUAAUCCUGGGGGGACCACCAGUGGCGAAGGCGUUCACCUAGAACGAAUCCGACAGUGAGGGACGAAGCCCUAGGGCGCAAACGGGAUUAGAUACCCCGGUAGUCUAGGGUGUAAACGCUGCAGACUUGGUGUUGGGGGUCCUGCGUGGGCUCCCAGUGCCGGAGCGAAGGUGUUGAGUCUGCCGCUUGGGGAGUACGGUCGCAAGACUGAAACUUAAAGGAAUUGGCGGGAGAGCACCGCAACGGGAGGAGCGUGCGGUUCAAUUGGAUUCAACGCCGGAAAACUCACCGGAGGCGACGGAGGGAUGAAAGCCAGGCUGAAGACCUUGCCCGAUUCUCCGAGAGGUGGUGCAUGGCCGUCGUCAGUUCGUACCGUAAGGCGUUCUGUUAAGUCAGAUAACGAACGAGACCCUCGCCGUUAGUCGCAAUCUUACAAGUGAUUGUAGGAGCACACUAGCGGGAUCGCUGCCGUUAAGGCAGAGGAAGGAGAGGUCUACGGUAGGUCCGUAUGCCCCGAAUCUUCCGGGCAACACGCGCGCUACAAAGGUGGGGACAAUGGGACCCGACCUCGAAAGGGGGAGGCAAUCCUGAAACCCCAUCGUAGUCUGGAUCGAGGGCUGUAACUCGCCCUCGUGAAAAUGGAUUCCGUAGUAAUCGCGGGUCAACAUCCCGCGGUGAAUGUGCCCCUGCUCUU